rnacentral:rRNA from 1 species
CAGCCGCCGCGGUAAUACGAAGGGUGCAAGCGUUACUCGGAAUUACUGGGCGUAAAGCGCGCGUAGGCGGUUACUCAAGUCAGAGGUGAAAGCCCGGGGCUCAACCCCGGAACUGCCUUUGAAACUAGGUGACUAGAAUCUUGGAGAGGUCAGUGGAAUUCCGAGUGUAGAGGUGAAAUUCGUAGAUAUUCGGAAGAACACCAGUGGCGAAGGCGACUGACUGGACAAGUAUUGACGCUGAGGUGCGAAAGCGUGGGGAGCAAACAGGAUUAGAUACCCCCGUAGUCCCUGUCUCUUAUAC